rnacentral:rRNA from 1 species
GAUGAACGCUAGCGGCAGGCUUAACACAUGCAAGUCGAGGGGUAUAGGGAGCUUGCUUCCUAGAGACCGGCGCACGGGUGCGUAACGCGUAUGCAAUCUACCUUUUGCAGAGGAUAGCCCAGAGAAAUUUGGAUUAAUACCUCAUAGUAUGUGAGAAUGGCAUCAUUUUCACAUUAAAGUCACAACGGCAAAGAUGAGCAUGCGUCCCAUUAGCUUGUUGGUAAGGUAACGGCUUACCAAGGCAACGAUGGGUAGGGGUCCUGAGAGGGAGAUCCCCCACACUGGUACUGAGACACGGACCAGACUCCUACGGGAGGCAGCAGUGAGGAAUAUUGGACAAUGGGCGCAAGCCUGAUCCAGCCAUGCCGCGUGCAGGAUGACGGUCCUAUGGAUUGUAAACUGCUUUUAUACAGGAAGAAACACUCCGACGUGUCGGAGCUUGACGGUACUGUAAGAAUAAGGAUCGGCUAACUCCGUG